rnacentral:rRNA from 1 species
CCUACGGGAGGCAGCAGUAAGGAAUAUUGGACAAUGGACGCAAGUCUGAUCCAGCCAUGCCGCGUGAAGGAUUAAGGCCCUCUGGGUUGUAAACUUCUUUUAUAGGGGACGAAAAAAGGGCUUUCUAGCUCGACUGACGGUACCCUAUGAAUAAGCACCGGCUAACUCCGUGCCAGCAGCCGCGGUAAUACGGAGGGUGCAAGCGUUAUCCGGAUUCACUGGGUUUAAAGGGUGCGUAGGCGGGCAGUUAAGUCAGUGGUGAAAUCUCUGGGCUCAACCCGGGAAACUGCCAUUGAUACUAUCUGUCUUGAAUAUUGUGGAGGUGAGCGGAAUAUGUCAUGUAGCGGUGAAAUGCUUAGAUAUGACAUAGAACACCGAUUGCGUAGGCAGCUCGCUACACAUAUAUUGACGCUGAGGCACGAAAGCGUGGGGAUCAAACAGGAUUAGAUACCCUGGUAGUCCACGCCCUAAACUAUGAUUACUCGACAUAUGCGAUACACUGUAUGUGUNUGAGACGAAGACAUAAGUAAGUACCACCGUACGGUAACGGUACGACCGACCGAACGGUUAGUAAACGUACGAACGUAGUAAGUUAGUACGGACGUUAGGAGACGUUAGCCGACGGACGACACGAGGGGAGGUUAGGG